AGUGAACGCUGGCGGUAGGCCUAACACAUGCAAGUCGAACGGCAGCACAGGAGAGCUUGCUCUCUAGGUGGCGAGUGGCGGACGGGUGAGGAAUACAUCGGAAUCUGCCCAGUCGUGGGGGAUAACGUAGGGAAACUUACGCUAAUACCGCAUACGACCUUCGGGUGAAAGAGGGGGAUCGCAAGACCUCUCGCGAUUGGAUGAGCCGAUGUCGGAUUAGCUAGUUAGCGGGGUAAUGGCCCACCAAGGCGACGACCCGUAGCUGGUCUGAGAGGAUGAUCAGCCACACUGGAACUGAGACACGGUCCAGACUCCUACGGGAGGCAGCAGUGGGGAAUAUUGGACAAUGGGCGCAAGCCUGAUCCAGCCAUACCGCGUGGGUGAAGAAGGCCUUCGGGUUGUAAAGCCCUUUUGUUGGGAAAGAAAUCUUUCAGGCUAAUACCCUGGGAGGAUGACGGUACCAAAAGAAUAAGCACCGGCUAACUUCGUG
rnacentral:rRNA from 1 species